CUGGUCAGUGAUGAUGAUUAAGUUUCUCAAAUGAGUUUUACGACACUGAGAUAACUACAUGCACUACCAUCUGAGACCGC